GCUCCGUAGGUGAACCUGCGGAGGGAUCAUUACAAGUGACCCCGGUCUUACCACCGGGAUGUUCAUAACCCUUUGUUGUCCGACUCUGUUGCCUCCGGGGCGACCCUGCCUUCGGGCGGGGGCUCCGGGUGGACACUUCAAACUCUUGCGUAACUUUGCAGUCUGAGUAAACUUAAUUAAUAAAUUAAAACUUUUAACAACGGAUCUCUUGGUUCUC
rnacentral:misc_RNA from 1 species